AGCUUGCUCCGGAAGAUCUAGUGGCGAACGGGUGCGUAACACGUGAGAAACCUGUCCUGGGACUCUGGGAUAACAGUUGGAAACGGCUGCUAAUACCGGAUGCCUUCAUUUGACCGCAUGGUUGUUUGAAGAGAGAUUUAUCGGUUUGGGAGGGUCUCGCGGCCUAUCAGCUUGUUGGAGAGGUAACGGCUCACCAAGGCUUCGACGGGUAGCUGGUCUGAGAGGAUGAUCAGCCACACUGGAACUGAGACACGGUCCAGACUCC
rnacentral:rRNA from 1 species